UAUUACAGGCAGUUAUUGAAAGAUCCCCGGAGCGGGGAGACCCUCACUCAAGUCUUGGGAUGGUGUGAUCCCCCAAGAACUCACAUAAGACC
rnacentral:pre_miRNA from 14 species